AGGAAAGUCUGCCUGGGAAGGAUGCCCGCACAGAGGGAAGCUGAUUAAGAGAUGAAAAGAGACAGACUCUUGACAACAUUGUUGGAGCACCUGGAUCCAGAUGUGCCUGAAGCUACCUCCGGACUUUCCAGCUACACAAGCCAUUUUACAGAGGAAGAAACCCAGGCUAAACUACAACUUACCUUAACCAGCAAUUUGCUCAAGAUUACAUAGCAAGAAAGUGAGAAGAUGGGAUUGGCAGACCAAACUGGAAAAUGGGAAGCUUGACCCUACUCAAGUCUCAAAUAUUGGAGAGAGAAGCAGCUCCAGCAGCAACAGCAGCAGCAAUAGCAGGAAAAAUGAGCCAGAGG